UACGUAGGGUGCGAGCGUUGUCCGGAAUUAUUGGGCGUAAAGAGCUCGUAGGCGGCUUGUCGCGUCGGUUGUGAAAGCCCGGGGCUUAACCCCGGGUCUGCAGUCGAUACGGGCAGGCUAGAGUUCGGUAGGGGAGAUCGGAAUUCCUGGUGUAGCGGUGAAAUGCGCAGAUAUCGGGAGGAACACCUAUGGCGAAGGCAGCUCGCUGGGACGGUACUGACGCUGAGACGCGAAAGCGUGGGGAGCAAACAGG
rnacentral:rRNA from 1 species